rnacentral:rRNA from 1 species
GGUUAAGCGACUAAGCGUACACGGUGGAUGCCCUGGCAGUCAGAGGCGAUGAAGGACGUGCUAAUCUGCGAUAAGCGUCGGUAAGGUGAUAUGAACCGUUAUAACCGGCGAUUUCCGAAUGGGGAAACCCAGUGUGUUUCGACACACUAUCAUUAACUGAAUCCAUAGGUUAAUGAGGCGAACCGGGGGAACUGAAACAUCUAAGUACCCCGAGGAAAAGAAAUCAACCGAGAUUCCCCCAGUAGCGGCGAGCGAACGGGGAGCAGCCCAGAGCCUGAAUCAGUGUGUGUGUUAGUGGAAGCGUCUGGAAAGGCGCGCGAUACAGGGUGACAGCCCCGUACACAAAAAUGCACAUGCUGUGAGCUCGAUGAGUAGGGCGGGACACGUGGUAUCCUGUCUGAAUAUGGGGGGACCAUCCUCCAAGGCUAAAUACUCCUGACUGACCGAUAGUGAACCAGUACCGUGAGGGAAAGGCGAAAAGAACCCCGGCGAGGGGAGUGAAAAAGAACCUGAAACCGUGUACGUACAAGCAGUGGGAGCACGCUUAGGCGGGUGACUGCGUACCUUUUGUAUAAUGGGUCAGCGACUUAUAUUCUGUAGCAAGGUUAACCGAAUAGGGGAGCCGAAGGGAAACCGAGUCUUAACUGGGCGUUAAGUUGCAGGGUAUAGACCCGAAACCCGGUGAUCUAGCCAUGGGCAGGUUGAAGGUUGGGUAACACUAACUGGAGGACCGAACCGACUAAUGUUGAAAAAUUAGCGGAUGACUUGUGGCUGGGGGUGAAAGGCCAAUCAAACCGGGAGAUAGCUGGUUCUCCCCGAAAGCUAUUUAGGUAGCGCCUCGUGAAUUCAUCUCCGGGGGUAGAGCACUGUUUCGGCAAGGGGGUCAUCCCGACUUACCAACCCGAUGCAAACUGCGAAUACCGGAGAAUGUUAUCACGGGAGACACACGGCGGGUGCUAACGUCCGUCGUGAAGAGGGAAACAACCCAGACCGCCAGCUAAGGUCCCAAAGUCAUGGUUAAGUGGGAAACGAUGUGGGAAGGCCCAGACAGCCAGGAUGUUGGCUUAGAAGCAGCCAUCAUUUAAAGAAAGCGUAAUAGCUCACUGGUCGAGUCGGCCUGCGCGGAAGAUGUAACGGGGCUAAACCAUGCACCGAAGCUGCGGCAGCGACGCUUAUGCGUUGUUGGGUA